AGAGGCUCAUUUGUUUGAUGUCUUACUGGUUUAUAUCUGUAGCCUGUCAUUCAUUUGCAUACACAUACACACACGCAAAUACAUAAAUACGCUCACUAAGGUGUACACCUACGCACAUAUACUGACACAUACGCACGUACAAAUACACACACGCAAUACUCAAACACAUAUUUCCCAAUAAUUCGAAAACUGCCAUUAACCUUAUACAUUCUGAGAUAUCGUCGCAUCUUUUCACUCGCUGUUAUUGCUAUUGUUGUUUUAGUUCAGCCUCAAGUCGUUCUUGAUUUGAGUUACAGAAGUUGUUCCAGCCUUGGAUAUACCAUUUUCCUCUCCAGCACGGCCGCAACCGACACCGUAAGCACUAUAUUCUCAAGAAAAUAACUAAUGUAAGCUUUUAUUAAGGGAGUUUAUAAAACAAUCCAAGUUAAGUACUUUCAUUCAGAAUACAACUAUUUAAGUAAUUCCGUUGUUUUAAAUGUAUUUAUCAAUAUUUUAAACCAUAUUUCUUGAUGGUAUCCAAUUACAUUAUUGAUUGGUGUUUAUGUUUGGUUAUUGUUUAUCGAUUCCAUCUUUACAUUCAUUAAUUAUUUAUUUACUUCGAUUUAUGCUCACAUUAUCAUAAUAAAAAUGUUUAUUUAUUACUUUUGUUGGUUACAUAUCAGUUUAAAGUUGACAUUAAAUAAUUUAAAUAGCAGUUUUAGAGAGACUUAGUUAUUUUAAUAUUUCUAUUAUAAUUUAAAUAGCAGUUACCAUAUUGAAAGUAUUUACUGUCUAAUAAACCGUAUUUAUGAGCAGAAUUAUUUCAUUUUGUAUUCAAAUACAGUUAAUGAUAGUUUUUACAUUUAUCUAUUUCUUGUACAGAAGGUCUAAGGCGCUGUAAUUCUACGGGAUUCGUGUAUGUAUGUUAUGUAAUAUGUGUGUGUGUGUUUGUGAGUGUACGUACAUAUAUAUAUAUUCUUACACAUAUACAUGCAUAUAUACAUACAUACGUGUGUGUGUGUGUAUAUAUAUAUAUAUAAAUCAAAACUUACUUGGAAGAGGACGCGUAGCGUUCGAUCAUAUAAUAACAAUUUAAUAAAUAUAGCAUAUGCAUACAUACAUUUGUAUCGUGCAUACAUACAAUUGUAUCAUGCCUAACAUAAGAUCCACUAAAACUUUAAGUAACAAAUGUAAUAAGAUAUACCAUGUAGCCUAUUAGGAAAAAACGAAAACAGAAACAUUAUUUCUUGAAUAGACAAGCUGAAUGAGUGAUCAGAUAAAGUGCAUGGAAUAACAAUUCAAACUAAAAUUAUGUUCUGGAGUAACGAUAUUUGUGGGCUUAUGGGGAGAAAGUAUAACAUGCCUGGACAAAGAAUGUUUUAACUGUAGUUUUGCCUGCAGUUUUACCUGUAGCUUCUUUGACAUUUUGAUUGCAUUGGUUAUCUUUUACCCUCUAGCUUUUUACUUCUUUCUGUCACUACACUGCGGCCAUAUUGGAGCACCGUUUCGAACAACAUGUUUUAGUCGGGCGAAUGGACUCUAGUACUUAUUGUUAAUCCUGUUACUUAUUCUAUCAUCUCUUUUUACUAAAUCUGUAAGUUUCGAGGGCGCAAAUAGACCAACAUCGGUUGUGAAGCACUGGAGUACAGAAAUAAUGGCAAAGACAUGCAAAAAUACACAAGUACACACGCACACACACACAGAUGUAUAUAUAUAUAUAUAUAUAUAUAUAUAUAUAUAUAUAUGUGUAUGCAUGUAUGUAUGUAUGUAUGUAUGUAUGUAUGUAUGUAUGUAUGUAUGUAUGUAUGUAUGUAUGUGUGUAUGUAUAUUUCAAAAUGUAACCACAUGUGGAUCGUAGGCAAUGCUUUCCUCCGUCUUCUUUUUCUCUUGGACUUUCCUCCCUCUCUUCUUUUUGACGAAGAGCUUUGCGCGAAAAGUAAAACUGCCUGUCUUUCCUUCCCAGAGCGUCUGCUAAAUUCUUUGCGUGUACCACGUCCGCGUGUUGUUGCUUUUUUCUUGUUAUGCUUGUUCGUUUUUUUAUUCCACACAGUUUCCGUCUAUCAAAUUCACUCGUAAAUUAUUGGUCGCCCCGAGAAGCACAGCCAUGACUUCAAAUAUCUCAUAAUUGUUCUUAUGAGGGAAGGCGCGUGGCUUAGUGGUUAGGGGUAACUGAUUCGCGAUCGUGAGUCCGAUUCCUGAAAAUUUUAAGUAUAGAGACGAGAACAAUCUGAUUGAAUAUAUAUUAGACCUAAGGGUAUUAUGCAUGCUUAGCAUCAACCGUACAGUUAAGUAUUUUCGAAACUAACAAUUAUAGUUAUCAUACUUGGACUUUGAUGGUGGGAUUUAAUUUUGGCGUCGUAUCCGGUAUAGACUUACCCUCCAGUAUAAAAUAUAAAAAUUAUGAGAUAUCAUGUUAUAUAGUGGAUUAUAUUACAUUACAUAUAUUAUAUGAUAUGUGUUGUGUUAUAUGGUGUGCUAUAUAUAAUAUUAUCCCAUGAUAGUGUGUGUAUGUGUAUGUAUGUGUGUGCGUGUAUGUGUGUGUGUUAGUGCUUUGCGUUUUGUGUUGGCUAUUUUAUGAUCAGAUUCAUAGAUAUUGUUUUAAUUUUUUUGUCUAAUGUAGAAGUUGGCGUUCCGUGUGUGUGUGUGCGUGUAUCUGUGUGUGUUUGUGUAUGUGUGUGUGUGUGUAUAUGUGUGUGUUUCUCGCACACCUCAUCAAAUACACACACACACACUCUCUCUCUCUUUCUCUCUCACACAUACACACGCACGCACAUCAAAUCUUCCGAUCAAGAUCAAAAGAACCCAUUUUCCCCCCAACCCCAUAUGUAAAGAUAUAUAUGUAUACACAUUAUAUAUAUAUUUAUACUAGCAGUAUCGCCCGGCGUUGCUGGGGUUUGUAAGGGAAAUAAUUAUAUAAGCAUUUUUAGAGAUGUAAAGUAUAAUAGCCAUCUCAAUAUGGCUAACCACAAAGGGGGAGGGGUGUUACUGUAGCUUUUUACGUUCUGAGAUUUAAUAAUAAAUUUUAGAGAGUUACUUCCCUUAUAUAUGUCAAAAAUGGAUUAAAAAUGGGAAAAAUUGAUGGUAAAUUUUUUUUUAAAUCGUAGACUAAUCGUAGACGCGCGCUAAUACCCAGACGGUCUCGAUAUGAAUCACGACUAUAAGAUACCCGGUUUUGGUUAAACUGCACCGCAAAAUGUGGGAGUUGUUAGGAAUCUAAAUCGUAGGAGACAGACACACAACCUCACUUUUAUAUAUAAAGAUUUCCUCUAUUUACAUAAUAUUGAGGUCUCUUUCUUUCUUUUGUUAUCUUACUGUUUUUACCAAUAUACAUAUAUAUAUAUAUAUAUAUAUAUAUAUAAAUAUAUAUAUAGUUACAGAGAUGUACUUGCAUAGCAAGUGACUUGAUCUGAGAUCGUGUGCUGGAACGAAAAUAGUUGCAGCGUUGAAGGUGUUUAUAAGCCAUUUAAGAAACACACAAAAACCGUUAGAUUCACUUCAACAUUUAAAUUUAAUUUGUCAAAAUAUUUUCGUCGCUUUGAGACCGCGACCUGUUAGCACGAUAUUUUUGUCAGUGAACAGGUCGCGGCCUCAAAGCGACGAAAAUAUUUUGGCAAAUUAAAUUUAAAUGUUGAAGUGAAUGUAACGGUUUUUGUGUGUUUCUUAAAUGGCUUACAAACACCUUCCACGCUGCAAUAUAUAUAUACACAUAUAUAUAUAUAUAUGUAUGUAUGUAUGUAUGUAUGUAUGUGUGUAUAUGUGUAUGCAUGUAUGUGUGUGUGUGUGUGCGUGUCUGUGCUUGUGAUUGUCCUUCACCACUGCUUGACAACGAAUGUUGGUUUGUUUACAUCCCUGUCACCUAGUGGUUUGACAAAGGAAACAGAUAGAAUAAGUACAAUGCUUACAAAAAUAAAACUGGAGUUGAUUCAUUAAACUACAAUUCUUCAAGGCAUUGCCCCAGCAUGGCCACAGACCAAUGGCUGGAAAAAGCAGAAGAAUAAAAGAAUACAUUCUCUGCUUUGGUCUUAUGUUCAAGGCAUGAGAAAGCUUGAGUUUACAUGAGAAGGCCUAACAGACUGGUAGAAACAGCAGCCAAAUCUCCCUCAAAUCACACCUUACUGUCUUAUGUAUGUAUAUAUAUAUGAGCCAAUGAGGGGGACCUCUACAUGGUAGCUAGACCUGGUAGAAAUAGCAGCCAAAUUUCCCCCAAAUCACACCUUACUGUCUUAUCUAUGUAUAUAUGUAUGUAUGAGCCUAUGAGGGAGACCCCUACAUGGCAGCUAGACAUGGUAGAAAUAGCAGCCAAAUCUCCCUCAAAUCACACCUUACUGUCUUAUCUUUCUGCUACUUGGAUAUAGGUCUUAUAUUCGUCGUAAAAAACUGUCCUGUCACACACUCACGCACACGCACACACACACACACACACACACACACACACGCACGUUAGCUUACAAUUUUAUUUAUAUAUUUGCGUGUCUAUGUGUGGAAAGUGGAAGUGGGAGGCAGUGUGAAAGAAUCACUCACUACAGUAAGUGAAUUACUUUCAUUUUAUUCGUUGCCCACUGUGUGUGUGCGUUUGCGUGUGGUGUAAACCAGACUAAGAAAAGCAUUUGACACACACACCAGAAUGUGAGUUUUCUGUAAAUUUUGCUUAAUUGGAGUUUAAAUUUUAAAAACUGGACCUGGCAUGACGCGAUGCAUUGUACUCUUAAAAAUGCUAGGUAAAUUGUAAUUGAAGAAAUCCUAUAUUGUAGAUUUGUAUAACUCCCAAAGGGAGGCAGAUAAAAUCUGCCUUUUAUAAUAAGAGAUACACACACAUAUAUAUAAAUUAACACAAUAUAUCUGAUUAAUAAUAUCUGUUAUGAUUGUGCGAUGGUGGUGGGCGAUAAUAUGUCACCGUUCUAAAAGACGGGAAUAUUUAAACUGUUGCUACUGCCACGGUUUCUCUCUCUAUAGAUACAGUGAGAAAGGUGGUGGGAGAAAGAGUGACAGAGAGACGGCGAAGCUGUGAAACGUCGUUAUAGAAAGAAGGUUAUAAAGAGAAAGUGCAGACAGACGUACAGAGAGAGAGAGAGAGGAUAUUGGAGAAAGAGGGACAGCGCUGGCGAAGGCGGCGGGGGAAAGAUAUUGGAAGCUUCAAACGUCGUUAUUGAAAGAAUGUGAAGGGAAGGGAGGAAAGAGAGAAAUAGAAGAAGAAAGGGUGAUAACCAUUAGAGAGAAACAACAAACACUUGUCAAAGUCUGGGUGUUUUUGCCACAGCUUCUUAAACGAGGGACAUAUUCAUACGGCACAGAACGCUUUUUAACUCAAUAGACGCAGAAAAGAGAUGAAAGAGGCAGUGGUACACGAAGUGAGAAAGGGGCAAGAAGAAAGGCGAAAUGUACAUUUGAUGCCAUGUAGUCAACAGAGACAGUGCCUGAGUGAGAUGGGAGGAAUAUGUGAUCAGCCGCAGAAUAUCAUGGAAGGAACUUUGGGCUUGGAAACAAGCAAGAACAUCCUUACUGAUCAGGUCUACCUUCGACAUUCUACCCUCACCGGCGAACUUAUUCCGGUGGGACAUAAAAACAACCGAUGAAUGUAGAUGCGGAGAGAAAGCGACGGUUAGACAUGUGCUGUUAAACUGCAGACUAGCACUAGAAAGGUAUACAUGGCGGCAUAAUCGAGUCCUCGGUGUCAUAAGCGCAGCACUCAAGGAGAAGAUCGAGAGAUACAAUAGGGGAGAGUACCCAAAAGUGGAAAAGCGCAGGAAAGUAUACUUCCAGAAGGAGGGAAAAGGAUAUAAAACCAGGCCUACAAGUAAAAUAUACGAGAUAGACGAAAUAUGGAAGGGACACUGGGAGCUGGCCACGGAUUUGGAAAGACUAGUAAUAUUUCCACUCAUAAAAACGACAAAAAGACCAGAUUUAGUCCCAUCGGACAGACAACGGAGAAUAGGAAUUUUGCUAGAACUGACAGUGCCAUGGGAAAAGAAGAUCGACAAUGCAGAGAAACGAAAGGAGAAGAGGUACAAAAACUAAUCGAAGAGUGCAGAGAACAGGGAUGGAAUGUCGAGUAUUACCACCUGGCAGUGGGGGCUAGGGGCUUCAUUGAAAGAAAAAUGACAACGCUAUUCAAAAGAUUUGUUUUUCUAGCUCGGAGCUGCGAAAACUAAUAAGGAGAGUACAGGAGGCGGUCGAAAAAGCCAGCUUCUAUAUAUGGCUGAAGCAGGAAAACUAAAAAUGUCUUGAAAGUCAUAACAUGCCGGCAGGAAAAUAACAUCACUAAGUGAGACAAGCUGACACAGAAUUAACUUCGCUGAUCUGAUUGACAAGUGACGGUCUCGCUUAGAGAAUGCGUGGGCUAAGACUACGCGCCUUCAUUGGUCAGUUACAGUUAAGACAGUGUCACGUGACAACUUGCUGGGCUGGUAUUUACAGGGAAAUUUCACAAGACAGUCAGUCGCCCGCUGACACUCCUUGAAGCUACAUCGAAGAGGCCAGCGAACAGAAGAAAGAAGAAAGAAGACAUGCACCCAGCACCAGAGCUGAAGACACCUCCGAAGGGGGGGGGGGCACGUCAAAACGGUAGAGGAGUGGGGGCCGAAACCGGACGUGGUUCCUCCUGAUGAUGUCCUGAGCUAACUGGAUCCUAUAAAGGAGGUGUUGUGGUAGCAGACCACGAAACACGGUUGAAAUUCCCCUUUAUUCAAAGGAAUUCCAACUCUGUUUUUAUGUUUUAUUUUUAUUCUUUAUAAUAUUAAUGUAGAAUAUAGAAUAUAUAGUAUAAAUAUUAUAUAUAGUAAAAUGAAAUGCAGUAUUGAUUGUCUUAUUGAAUAGAUAGAAAAUUGAAUAUCAAAUAUUAAAGGUCUAGUAUAUUUUCUUGCAUUAAAUUAGUCUUCAAGGUCCCAGGUUGUGACAUGAGUGUUUCAACUGUUUAUGUAUAUAUAUAUAUAUAUAUAUAUAUAUAUAUAUAUAUAUAUAUAUAUAUAUAUAUAUAUAUAUUAUAUAUGUAUGUAUGUAUGUAUGUAUGUAUGUAUGUAUGUAUAUAUAAGUAUAUAUAUUUACAUGUUUUAUUCCCACAUAUGUUUAUGUAUACAUGUACAUGUAACUUUAGAUACUUAUGUGUGUGUACAUAUAUAUAUAUGUAUGUAUAAUGGACUCUCUAGUUGAAGACAACGUAUGGGCUUUCAACCUUUGCCCAACGGUCUGCACAAAUGAUUUGUUUAUAGUGAUGAAGUGCUCAUGCUGUACAUCAGCUCAUUCAAUCCAUCAAAUCGAUCGUUAUGUGAACAGGUGCUGAAGUGAUUGCGAAGCAACAUGAGAUCAACUGCUUUGCUCAAGAACACAACCAGCACCCAAUAAAGGAAUUGAAAUCACAAUCUCGCGAACGCGUGUGUAAUAUUUUAACUCAGCUUUUUUUCAACCGGUGUUCCCCGGAAGCCUAGAGUUUUGCAAAAGAUUCCUAGGUGUUCCGUGAGAAUGAGUGCGAUAAUCUAAUGCUAAUUUCCUGAUCACAACAUUAUUAUUUAUGCACAGCAUCUUGUAAUAUUGUAAUAUUAUAAUAUAGACAUCAUCCUAUCUAACCUAUUAUGUUGUGAACCCACGUGAGCUACGAUGAAAAAAUAUGAGAAAGAUAUGGUAUAUAAUUUCUUUUGUGCAGGGAUUCCUUGAAACAUGUAUUUUCUUUUGAAGGGUUACACAAGGGUUAACAAACACCGCUCGACAGACUGAGCUAUGCUGGUGGAAGGAAAAUAUCACGCAGAACUUAGUUUUGAUCUAUAGAUCUCUCAGUUAAGCAUCCGCUGCUUUACUGGUGUGCCUCCAGCAAUACCUUCCCGAUCGUAUAUAGAAACAUUUCAUAAUGCAAUAUGUCUCUUUCUCUCUCUCCACGUCUCUCUUUUACUCUCCUUCUCUCUCUCUCUCUCUCUCUCUCUCUCUUUCGUUUCAUAUAUACUUAUAUAUACACAUAUAUAAACACACACACGCACAUAUAUACCCACAUGCAUACGUACACAAUAGCACACACAGGCAUUCACAUGCACAAACAUCCAUCAUCAUUUGUAAUGGUUAGAAAUGUUGCACUUGUAAUAGUCUUUGUUAACCUCCCCUUCCGCUUCUGCCUCCCCCUCUCGUCAUCAUCAUCAUCUUUAGUAAUGUGGGCCACCUCGUCAUAUUCAAUUGUAUAUCACGUCGUUCAAAUGAAUCCCCUGGAGGGGAGUAACAAUGUCGAUAGACAAUAGCCAUUGUGUUAUAAUGCCAAUAGAUACUAUUUUAGCUUAGGUUAUAAUACCAUUACUGCUGUAAUAUUUACACAGUUAUGUAUAUUUAUAUAUAAACUUACUUGGAAAAGGAUGCGUGGCGUUCGAUCAUAUGAUAAUAUAAAUAAUAUAUAAAUAUAUGCAUAUACAUACAUAUAUGUACAUACCUACAUCUAUAUGUAUAUAUACAUGCAUAUAUGUGUACAGGACAUCAAAAAAAAACGUUGAACUCAAUGAGAAACGAAAACAUAAAAGCAAAAACAUGGAAACGAAUUUUUUUCAAACAACGAAAAAACAGAGUAAAAGACAUACAACACGAGGAAUAUUCCCCUUCUUCAGUUGUCCCUGGUUCGUCUACUCCGUGUUUCGAAGGUAAGGACAAGACGCAACUUCGUUGAAAUAGUCCUUCCUGCAAAGCAAAUUAAAUAAAAUUUGCGAUUUUUUGCGGAGGAGUAAAAGUGGUAACAAGAAGAGGACAGUAAGAACAAAGCAAGACAGUAAAAACAAUAAAAGUAAAAACAGUAACAGACAGGACAAAGAGAAUAACACAGUAGAAACAAACGAUGAGGGUUGUUAAGCCAAGAUGAUGGAAAAAGUAUUCUGAACGGUUGAAGAGGUUGGAGAUUUAAGAUUAACUCAAAACAAAAUAGCCAGCAAGAAGUAGUUGUAUUUGGAAAUAUAAUUGUGGCAGCACUGUGUAUUGCUUUUUUUAACAUUCCAUUUUGCAGUGUGAAGGACAAAUAUAUAUAUAUAUAUAUAUAUAUAUAUAUAUAUAUAUAUAUAUAUAUAUGUGUGUGUGUGUGUGUGUGUGUGUGUGUGUGUCUGUGUCUGUGUGUGUAUACACAUAUACAUACAUACAUAUUUAUAUUAUAUAUAUAUUUAUAUAUAGAUACAUAUAUAUAUUACAUACAUUUACAUAUACAUAUAUAUAUAUAUAUAUAUAUAUAUAUAUAUAUAUACUAACAAAUAUAGGAUGAUGCCCCUUUCUCUACAGAAAAGAAUUCCAUCAGGAAGCGUGGCAGUAUAUUAAAAAAACCUUUACGGUUGAAAUAUGAACAUCUUAUAAUAAAGGGCUAGAGAAGCUAUUUCAGAAGCCAAUAUACUGGUUAUCCACUUAUAAUCCACUGUUACAGGGAAAAUUGAACUGAAAAUCGGGCAACUAACCUUUAGAAAAUUUAAAUUUCGUUAUCUCUAUAUUGAAUCAAUUUUGGAAUUAAUCCUAUAAAGGAUACAUUCUUCGUCAGUAGAGCUUACGAGGAAAUAUAAAUAAAAUACUCACAUGCGUUUAUGGAAAAAGCAGAAGCUAAAAACAUAACUACAUUUAAGUACAUCAUUUAUAUCUAAAAAUAAAAAAAUUCCUUGGUCAGUCUGAGAACAACCUGUUGACUUUUCGCCGCUACAUAUUGUAAUGGUUACCACUCCCCUGUAAGCUAGCAGUAAUGGAUUUACUACUAACAAAUAUAGGAUGAAGCCCCUUUCUGUACAGAAAAGAAUUCCAUCAGGAAGUGUGGCAGUAUAUUAAAAAAACUUUACGGUUGAAAUAUGAACAUCUUAUAAUAAAGGGCUAAAGUCAACAGGUUGUUUCUGAGACUGACCAAGGAAUUUUUAUUUUUAGAUAUAAAUGAUGUACUUAAAUGUAGUUAUGUUUUUAGCUUCUGCUUUUUCCAUAAACGCAUGUAAGUAUUUUAUUUAUAUUCCCUCGUAAGCUCUACUGACGAAGAAUGUAUCCUUUAUAGGAUUUAUUCCGAAAUUGAUUCAAUAUAGAGAUAACGAAAUUAAAAUUGGUUGUAUACUGUCAAUCUAACAAGAACGUGACAGUAGGGGGUACACCACCGCUGUAUAGCCCUAGGAGGCAUCGAACACCUCCUGAUAGCUUUGACACAUUUUUUCCCUGUGUCCUUAUAUACAUAUACGAAGGGGAGACAAACACCCCCGGCUGCCGAAACUGCAUCUAGGGACACCGUGUUUCAGGAUCGUUGUCCUUCAUCGGCCUAGAGUAGCAGACACCGGUCAGCUGGUGAUAUUUGCCUCGACUUCGUAAUUGUAUAUAUUUAUAUUCAGUGAAGUUUAUUCACUAAUUAUCAAAAUAAGAAAUAUUGAAUUUCUAAAUCUCUCGUAGAGACAUGUACGGUGGUGGGGCGAUAGAAUGGUUGUAUACUGUCAAUCUAACAAGAACGUGACAGUAGGGGGUACACCACCGCUGUAUAGCCCUAGGAGGCAUCGACGCCUCCUGAUAGCUUUGACACAUUUUUUCCUGUGUCCUUAUAUACAUAUACGAAGGGGAGACAAACACCCCCGGCUGCCGGAACUGCAUCUAGGGACACCGUGUUUCAGGAUCGUUGUCCUUCAUCGGCCUAGAGUAGCAGAAACCGGUCAGCUGGUGAUAUUAUAUCUUUAUUAUGGGCACGAUGGCCCGAAUGCAGAGGGGACAUUACAAGACGGGACAUGGGGUACAUAAAGUAAAAAAUAAAAUAUGAAAUAAAGAUGAAUUCUGUGUAAUGAGUUAGAUGGAACGGCUUACGAGCCCCCAACUCGCAGUUCCGUUUAAAAUACAAUUUUACAUUUUACAAUUUCAUAUAUUCCAGUUCAAAAUACAAUUUUACAUUUUACAAUUUUACAAUUACAUAUAUUCCAGUUCUAUUGGACGUUCGUCCGUAAUGUACUUUGUUAAUUCCAUCUGGUCUAUCACAUUUGGCAAAUUGUCAUAACAUACAUAAUACGUUAAAUAAACCUCAUCAAACAUACUUUUCAAUUUAGUAAAUGUUCCUCUUAUCUACAACUACCCCUUUCACAUCGUCAUCAUGCAGUUUUGGGUGUAAUUUAACCUUAAUUAAUCCUUUCCUACCUGCAAGUCUUUUUUCCACAUCUGUGUUUUUGACGUACAACACGAAUACUUUCAGGUAUUUUCCUACCGGUCUUUUUCCCUUUUUACAAGCAUCCAACUGUUCUCUCACGUUUUUUCUCCAUUCUAGGUUUACCUCUGUCUUUGUCUGUUCGUCCUUUUCUUUGCACGUUCUCUCUUCUUUUUCUUCUGUUAUCUUGCUUUUGAUUUUUUUAUUUUUUAGAACUUUCGGUGGUGAUUCCACCCUUGUUCUCUUCCUAUCUUCUGUUCUUUCAUCCUCUGCACUUGCACGUUCUUCUUCCACAUCCUCAAUUAGCUGCUCCUCCGUUUGCGCCUCCACUGCUUUCGUUUCCUCCUGCACUUCUCCCUCCUCCACACACGUAUCUUUACACUCCUUCGUUACAGCCUCCGGUGCUAUCGUUUUCUCCAGCGGGCACACAUCCUUCAUGUGGCCUCUUAAUUUACAAUUAUAACAGACUGGGGGUCUUCCCUCUACCACGACUCUAAGCCGUGUCUCAUCAGGGAAGACCAACUCCUCCGGGAUGUUGUACAGGUCUGGCACGGUUAUAUGUGCCAGAACCUGUACCGCAUAUCCCCACCACUUAACUUCUGUUGACUUUUCCACCUUCACCACCUCCACACUUUCCUUGCAGUUGAAAACUACUGCCGCUAAUAUCCUCUCCAUGUUAAGUUCGGGCGAAAUCCUACUAAUUCUUAUUCUGACUGCCCUCUUUCCGCAGUAACUCGGUAAUAAAGUCCAACUUUCAGAUUUUAGAAUUUUUGUCGCAUUCUUUCUUGCUUCAUUUUCAUUUUUAAAGUGUACCACCACUGUGGCAUAUUUCCUUCCUCUGUUGAAAAAGGUAGGUUCACCCUCAAUUCCUUGCAGACAUUUCUCUAUUUCUUCCGUCUCUGCUACUUCUAUUUUUCUUGACGCCACACACCAUGUCCUGUAUGUUAUCAUACGUUUCUCCGCGUUGUUUUCUUCUUCUUCGGACGGUGUGACUCUCACGCAGUCACCCUCCCUCUUCAAACUGUCGAAAUAUUUUUCUAAAGUCUUCUUCUCGACUACCACUUCUUCCAUUUCUAGUUCACUGGCAACCAGGCCUCUGCCUGCUGCUCUCGCAUACGUCUGGUCUUGCAUUUUCAAAAUCUCCAAAUAAAAUUCACCACGUCCUCCAGCAACGAACUCGAACUCACAACCUCUUCACAAUGACGCACUCAAAACAAACACACCAGAAUAACGACUCCCCCCCAAAAAUAGGUCGGUUGGUGAUAUUAUAUCUUUAUUAUGGGCACGAUGGCCCGAAUGCAGACGGGACAUUACAAGACGGGACGUGGGGUACAUAAAGUAAAAAUAAAAUAUGAAAUAAAGAUGAAUUAUGUGUAAUGAGUUAGAACCCCCAACUCGCAGUUCCGUUUAAAAUACAAUUUUACAUUUUACAAUUUUACAAUUUACAAUUUUACAUUUUAACAUUACAUAUAUUCCAGUUCUUUUAUAUUGGACGUUCGUCCGCCAUAUACUUUAUCAAUUCCAUCUGGUCUAUUACAUUUGGCAAAUUGUCAUAUCGUACAUAUUGCGCUACAUAAACAGCAUUAAAUAUCUUCUUCAAUUUUGUGAAUGUCUCUUUUUCUAUAACUACCCCUUUCACAGUGUCACCAUACAGUUUUGGGUGCAACUUUACCCUGACCAAUCCUUUCUUACCUGCAAGUCUUUUUUCUACUUCUGUGUCUUUGAUAUACAUCACGAAUGCUUUCAGGUUUUUUCCUGCAGGUCUUCUUCCCUUUUUACAAGCUUCCAACUGCUCUUUCACUUUUGUCUCCCAUUCUUGGUCAGCCUCUGUCAUUGUCUGCUCUCUCGCCUUCUCUUUUACUCCCGUUUCUUUGCACGUUCUCUCUUCUUUUUCUUCUGUUAUCUUGCUUUUUAUUUUUUUAUUUUUUAGAACUUUCGGUGGUGAUUCCACCCUUGUUCUCUUCCUAUCUUCUGUUCUUUCCUCCUCUGCACUUGCACGUUCUUCUUCCACAUCCUCAAUUAGCUGCUCCUCCGUUUGCGCCUCCACUGCUUUCGUUUCCUCCUGCACUUCUCCCUCCUCCACACACGUAUCUUUACACUCCUUCGUUACAACCUCCGGUGCUAUCGUUUUCUCCAGCGGGCACACAUCCUUCCUGUGGCCUCUUAAUUUACAAUUAUAACAGACUGGGGGUCUUCCCUCUACCACGACUCUAAGCCGUGUCUCAUCAGGGAAGACCAACUCCUCCGGGAUGUUGUACAGGUCUGGCACGGUUAUAUGUGCCAGAAACUGCACCGCAUAUCCCCACCAUUUAACUUCUGUUGACUUCUCCACCUUCAACACCUCCACCUUCAACACCUCCACACUUUCCUUGCAGUUGAAAACUACUGCCGCUAAUAUCCUCUCCAUGUUAAGUUCGGGCGAAAUUCUACUAAUUCUUAUUCUGACUGCCCUCUUUCCACAGUAACUCGGUAAUAAAGUCCAACUUUCCGUUUUCAAAAUUCUUGUUGCAUUCUUUCUUGCUUCAUUUUCAUUUUUAAAAUGUACCACCAUUGUGGCAUAUUUCCUUCCUCUGUUGAAAAAGGUGGGUUCUCCCUCAAUUCCUUUCAGACAUUUCUCUAUUUCUUCCGUCUCUGCUACUUCUAUUUUUCUUGUCGCCACACACCAUGUCCUGUAUGUUAUCAUACGUUUCUCCGCGUUGUUUUCUUCUUCUUCGGACGGUGUGACUCUCACGCAGUCACCCUCCCUCUUCAAACUGUCGAAAUAUUUUUCUAAAGUCUUCUUCUCGACUACCACUUCUUCCAUUUCUAGUUCACUGGCAACCAGGCCUCUGCCUGCUGCUCUCGCAUAAGUCUGGUCUUGCAUUUUCAAAAAUCUGUAAAUAAAAAAUUCACCACGUCCUCCAGCAACGAACUCGAACUCACAACCUCUUCACAAUGACGCACUCGAAACCAACACACCAGAAUAACGACUCCCCCCAAAAAAUAGGUCGGCUGGUGAUAUUUGCCUCGACUUCGUAAUUGUAUAUAUUUAUAUUCAGUGAAGUUUAUUCACUGAUUAUCAAAAUAAGAAAUAUUGAAUUUCUAAAUCUCUCGUAGAAAUUUAAAUUUUCUAAAGGUUAGUUGCCCGAUUUUCAGUUUAAUUCUUCCUGUAGCAAGUGGAUUAUAAGUGGAUAACCAGUAUAUUGGCUUCAGAAAUAUCUUCUUUAGCCCCUUAUUAUAAGAUGUAUAUAUAUAUAUAUAUAUAUAUAUAUAUAUAUAUAUAUAUAUAUAUAUAUACAUACAUAUAUAUAUAUUUAUAUAUAUAUAUAUAUGAAAUACACACAUACAUGUAUACACACAUAUGAAUCUGCAUGUGCGUGUGUGUAUGUGUGUGUGUGUGCGUAUGUGUAAAGUACAAAUAAUUAUACAAUUAUAUAUGUUCUCGUUGACGUAGAUUUAUAACACUGGGUAACAUUUUUGAAAAUAAAAUUGUUGUCCUGCUUCUUACAAUUAAUCAUACCUAAAUUGAUGGGGCUGGGUUCAGAAAUGCCCUUAUAAAGUUUCUAUUUUUUUGUUAAACAUGAAUUCUUUUUUUUUUUUUUACCAAAAAUAUCAAUUUUGUCAUUAAAUGCAAUACUGAAAUAAGAAACUAAUACAAACCAAAUAGUACUUUUUAUUGUUUAACAAAUAUAUUACACAACUGUUUAAUUACACAUCUUAGAAUAGAUAUUUCUUAUAAAUGGAAAAGUCACAUUAAUUUUCUGCUCCUGCUCCUUAAUUUUCUGAUCCUGCGCUGCAAGUAUAGUCCUUUUAUCAGUCAAUCCCACUAUUAUUUCAAGCAACAUCUGUUGAGGUUACUUGGAAUUGAUAGUGUUGUCCCUUCUUGCGUAAUUCAUCUUCAGGUCCAUUUUGUACUUCUUCCUUUGUUUUCCAUUUUUCUCUGCUCUCAAUUACUCCCUCGUUCCUAUCUGUCGCUAACAAGGUUUCUUUAUUUUGAGCUAGGUAUCUCAUUAAUCUCUCAAGUUCGAUACGCACGCAUUCUUCCACACUUGUUAGUCCCUUUCCGCCAUUUUCUCUCUACAUGUAUAGGCAAUCAGUGUCUGCACGUGGAUGAUAGGCUCCAUACAUCGUUAGGAGCUUUCUUGACUUCCUGUCCAUUUCCUUUAGCCUCUCCUCGGUCCAAUUCAAGAUUCCAGUGCCAUAAUGAACUACUGCGACUGCGCACGAGUUCAUUGCCGAGAUUAUGUUUCUGGCAUUCAGCUUUGAAGCCAAUAUUUUUCUCACUCGCUGGAGGUACUCUCUUGUUGUCUUAUCCUUUAUGUCGUGUUCUUUGAUUCUAACUGCCUCAAGUAUUCCCAGGUAUUUAUAGCUGGACUGAGGUUGAAUUGCCUUCAUCAUUUCACCACCUGGCAACCAUAUGCCUUCUGUCCUGGCAAUCUUUCUUCGUCUCAUCCCCACCGUAGCACAUUUUGAGAAUCCGAACUCCAUCUUAAUAUCAUUGGAGAAAAUUCUUAGACUGGGCUAAACUUUCCAGUUCUGCCUCAGUUUUUUUUAAUCGCUUCAGGUAAUCCAAGAAUAACAAAUGGUUUAGUGUUCUCUUACCUUUUCUGUAGAAUUUCACUCAAGGGGAUCAUUCCCAGCAUGAAUAUCAAUGGGUACACACUGUCUUCCUGGAAGAUUCCUCUUUUGAUUUUCACCUCUUCUAGUACUUGCUUCUCUGCUGUAAAUUUCGUUCUCCAGUAUUUCACGCUAUUCCAUAUAAAGCUUCUCAUAUUCUCUGCUAUUCCAUACAUUUCCAUUGUUCUUAUUAUCCAGGAGUAUGGUAUCAUAUUGUAUGCUUUGCGAUAGUGAACCCAUGCCAUGCUCAGGUUUGUAUGUCUUUCCUUGCAGUUCCUGAUAAUUAGAUCCUUCGUCCCCCGGCUCCUUUUUCGGCAUAUUUUCUGUUCAAUGGGCAGUAACCCACUUUUUCCAAGUAUUUAUACAGUUCACCAGCCUAAGCACCUGAUAUAAAUUUGGAUGCAACAUUUCCCUUUUCAGGAUCCUCGGCACAUAAGAAUGUCUUUGCCUUUGUCAUGCAGCUUGGUACUGCAUCUUCCUGCAAGCACUCCUCUAGCUUUUGUGCUAUCCUUUCAUGGAGCCCUCUUAGCUUCUUCAUCCGAUAACUUUGGACUCCAUCCGAUCCAGGGUUCUUCCAAUUUGGAAAUUUUCUUAACUGCUAUUUUAUCAAAUUUGUGGUUACAUUUAUGUCUUCUUGGACUUCUCUAGUUUUUAACGUAUCUUGGAUUUCAUGCAACCACUCCGCUUCAUCAUUAUGCUCUACAGAUUGGCUCCAGAUAAAUCUCCAGAAUGCCUUGCUUUCUCUGCAUCUAGUAUCAUUGUCACGUGUAUUUGCCCAUCUAGUUCUUGAAACAGUUUCUUCUGAUUUGCUUUAAACAAUUUGUUUUGCCUGAACUAUCUUUUUUUAUUAUCAUUAUUCAGUAGUCUUAUUUUUAUAACGUCCUUUCACUGUACUACCGAGCACAGUCCUGUGUGCCUUGGGUAUGUGCUGUGGUCUGUUGUCAUGCUUUUAUAGUUAUUGUAUUGAAAGUGUUUUACGUAGGAUGUGUGUAGUAUUUAGUAGUCCUAUUUUCUGUAUGUUAUAUAUAUUUGUUAGUCCUGGGGCUUUUGUUAUGUAUUUGUCUGUAGUUGCAUGUCCCAACUGUCAUAUCUGUGAAUAUAUUAUUAUUAUUAUUAUUAUUAUUAUUGUUGUUGUUGUUGUUGUUGUUGUUGUUGUUAUUAUUGUGAAUGUAUAUGGUUCAGUGGUUUGAGCGUCGGGCUCACAAUGACGAAGUAGUUAGCUCGAUUCCUGGACCGGGCUCCGUGUUGGUUUCUGGAGCAAAACACUUUAUUUCACGUUGCCUAAGUUCACUCAGCUGUAGAAAUCAGUUGUGACGUCACUGGCGACAAGCUAUAUCGGCUUUUGCUUUUCCUUUGGACAACAUCGGUAGCAUGGAGUGGGGAGACUGAUAUGCAUGUGUGACUGCUGAUCUUCCACAAACAAACAGUCUUGCUCGGACUUGUGCCUCGGAGGGGAAAUUUCUAUGUGUAAUCCCAUGGACAUUCAUGAUCAAAGGGGGUCUUUAUAUUAUAUUUAAGAGAUGUCAGAAUUGUGAGCACGCUGGACGAAAUGCGUAGCGGUUUUUUGCCCGUCGCUACGUUGUGAGUUCAAAUUCCGCCGAGGUCGACUUUACUUUUUAUCCUUUCGAGAUGAGAACUUGGGUCGAUGUAACCUGCUAGUCCCCUCCCCAAAAUUUCAGGCCUUGUACCUAUAGCAGAAAGGAUUAUUAUUAUAAUUAUUAUUAUAAGCAGUUUCUAAUAUCAAUGGGCUUUGUUUCGAUUUCAUCAUGUGAAAUUUAUUGUGUUGUUAAAAUGUUUUUGUCAAUAGAAAUGUAAGCGAAAGUUAAUAUAAUAAUAAACAAGCCAAGUACCACAAAAAGAUAAUAUACAAAAAAUGCAAUUAUUGAGUAAGUGCGUAGGAAACCUCCACAAAAACAAAAGAGUCAGCGCAAUAAAUAGUUUAUUUAUUUAUUAUUUUUCCUUAAUUCUAUUACUUGGUUCAUUCCACCGAUAUUGAAUUAGAAUACGGUACUGGCUUCAAUGAAUGGAUUUAAUUCAUCAAUUUAACUCUCGAAUUUACUUUUAUUAUUGUAUAUUGUAUAUAUACCCAUUUGUAUUUUAGAAACUACACUGGGCAUUAAACAAGUUAACCAGCUGGAUGUUUCCAUUCCUAUAAGAGCUUGUUUCCUUGUAUUAUAUAUAUAUAUAUAUAUAGUGAAGGCGCAUGCCUCAGUGCUUAGAACAUCGAGUUUACGAUCGUGAGGUUGUGAAUUCGAUUCUCGGAGAGCGCUGAGUGUUGUGUUCCUCACCAGACACUUUAUUUCACUCAAGUGUAGAAAUGGGUUGCGACGUUACUGGUGCAAAGAUGUAUCCGCCUUUGCCUUUCCCAUGGACAGCAUUGUUCGCUUGGAGAAGGGACGCUGUUAUGGAUGAAUGACAGCUAGUUUUCCAUAAAAAAACUUACAAUAUGUAUAUAUAUAUAAUACAAUAUAUGAUGUAUAUAUAAUAUAGUAUAUGAUUUAUAAUAUAUUUAUAUAUAUAUAUAUAUAUAUAUGAAAAAACUUUUUAGACACCCUGUUAAAACCACUCCUCAAACAUGUCAAAAGCUAUAUAAGGGACGACUUAGAUAUGCUCAAUCACCUACCGAAUACUAUAAACAAAAACACCAUACUGGUAUCCUUCGAUGUAGUCAACCUCUACUCCAAUAUCCCCCACAACCUAGGACUAGAGGUAAUCCAAUUCUGGCUAGAGAAUCACGCCAACGAACUACCACACCGCAUCAAAAAAGAAUUUGUGAUAGAAGGGGUUAAAUUCAUCCUGGAAAAUAACUUCUUCGCCUUCAAUGACAACUUCUACCGACAAAAAUCGGGGACUGCGAUGGGUACACGAAUGGCCCCCUCCUUUGCCAACCUAGUCAUAGGAUACCUAGAGAUCAGUCUGUAUCGUAAGGUUCUAGAAAGAUAUGGCAGCCCUUUCUCCAUCUACAUAGAAAACAACUGGAAGAGAUAUCUAGAUGACUGUUUCAUCCUUUGGCAUAAAAAUAUAGAAAAACUCAUAGAAUUCCAGAAAAUUUUAAACGGACUGGACGUAAACAUCCAAUUCACGAUGGAAUAUAGCCAACAACAACUCCCCUUCCUCGAUAUCCUCAUUAAGAAAGCUAAUAAUAUAAUAGAAACAGACAUAUACUAUAAGCCUACAGACUCUAAGCAAUAUCUUCCAUUCAAUUCAUGCCACCCCAGACACACCAGGAUGAAUAUCCCCUUCAAUCUAGCAAAAAGGAUAUGCACUAUAGUCUCUAACGCAAACACCAGAGACACACGACUACAAGAACUAAAAGAUACCCUAAUCACCAGGAACUAUCCACCUUCACUUAUUGACAAGUGCAUUCAACGUGCCCUUCAACUUAACAUCAAGGAACUGAGACAUCCCAAAUCAAAGAAAAACUUACAACCAAAAGCCUUACCAUACAUCUCCACACACAACCCUCUCAAUAACGAAGCCUUCGACACCAUCCUCCACAACAUACCCCUCCUAAAAAAGACCACAGAAUGAACACAAUCCUCCAAACACACACGAUCAUAAAAAGCAAAAGACAGCCUAGAUCCAUGAAAAGUCUCCUUACACAAGCCCGAAUUCACUCUUCAACACAGAAGCCGACAGUAAAAAAAUGUGGAAGACCCAAUUGCGGGAUAUGCGACUAUCUAAUCGAGGGUUCUGAGUUCUCCUUCAAACAGGGACAACGGUUUACAGUGAAAAGCAACUUCACAUGUGCUUCGGAGAACCUAAUAUACUCACUAACCUGCUCCGGGUGUCAAGAGCAGUACAUAGGCCAAACAAAAAAUGGUUUGCGUAAACGAAUGGCCCUGCACAGAUCCCAGAUAAAAAUUCCCCAAAACAGAAAAAUAGCUUUUAGCCAACACAUAGAUACUUGCGCCAACAAAAAAACACCAAACUUCAGAAUUUUCCCCCUCUACCAAUUUAGGGACGAUACAACCUCGAGACAAAGAAUAAGUAAAGAAAAUCUCUUUAUUACAAAAUACAAGCCACUUCUUAACGGGUCUACGACAAACAAUUAAUAUACCUCAACUUUAGAAUAAAAGAAAAAAAUAUAUAUACACACACAAAUACUACACUCCAUAGAAUCCAUUACUAAUCAGCCCCUUCAUAGCUAUAUUUACACCCAUUCAUAUUCUCCCUUCUCUGUUUUUUUCUUCUUCUUCUUCUUCAUCAUCAUCGUUAUCAUCAGCAUCGGCGUCAUCAUCAUCGCCACCAUCAUCACCACCAUCUUCUCCUUCUCCACCUUCUUCUUCUUCUUCUUCUUCUUCAUCAUCAUCGUUAUCAUCAUCAUCGUCGUCAUAAUCAUCACCACCAUCACCAUCAUCUUCUCCUUCUCCUUCUCCUUCUUCUUCUUCUUCUUCUUCUUCUUCUCCACCCCCUACCCCUUAAGUUUGUCACUAAUGUUUUUUAGUAUAACACCUACGCUAAUUCUAUAAACAAGCCUGUCGAUAUAAAUAUUCUCCUGAAUUGAACUGAGACUGCCAGCCGCCACUGACCAUUCAAAAUACGACCAUCAGGGCACUCCCAGAUUCUCCCACCCCCCUUUCCUCACCAGCCUUCCCUCUACUACCCUACCAAGAACUCACAACUACCUCGAACACACAAGUGCAAACAAGGGAGUCAGAGAAAGGCAGAAUGCCACUUAAAUCUGAACACUACUAUAGAAAUAUUGUUUUAAAAAAACUUUUCUUCUAAUUUUUCUAAAUUUAAUUAUUUAAUCGUUACAGUUGAAAAGGUCUCAAAAUGACCGAAACCGGUACUGAAAUGUUCACUAUAAAAUUAUUUUAGCAUUUUCUAUUUUUUACUUGUUUUUUCAUAUAUAUCAACUCGUGUGUUCCUUUUCACCCUUAUACAUAUAUAUAUAUAUAUAUAUAUAUAUAUAUAUAAUCUAUGUAUAUGAACUAGGGCUCUUCCUGGCCCUGACGUGUACCAAUGAAUACCUGUCACACGAUAACCUUCUGUAUGCUUGUCCCACCCGUAACAAACGAGGUAGACCACCUACCAUUACCUCAGCAUACAGAAAGACUCACUGUGAGCGCUGGCAGGGCUGGACGAAGCCAGACUACCCACCUUCAGAUGCACACGACAUCAGAACUACUAUCACACAUGCUAUCGGUGUCAGCCUGAGAAUUACACUUAAAACCCAUAUUUUUAGGUUUGACAACAAACUGUUUAAGCAGACAAAAGGCGGUGCUUUUGGAGUAGAGAUCGCCGGUGACGUUGCAAACCUCUUCAUGGUAUGGUGGGACAGACAUUUUAAACAGUGCCUAGCAACCCGUAACAUUCACUUAGCUAUGUACUCUCGUUACGUCGACGACAUUAACCUUGUCGUGAAAUGUUAUAAUACAGACACAGUUAUGGACUCUCUACUAAGUGAAGAACAGGUGAUGACAUCUAUACAACACAUAGCUGACUCUAUCCACAGCAGUAUAAAAGUUACCAUAGACUACCCCUCUAAACACCCCAGUAAACGAUUACCCGUCCUAGAUACUGAGCUAUGGAUAGAAGAUACUAUGGUUAAUGGAACUAUUAAACCCUGUAUACUCCACUCACACUAUCAGAAGCCGAUGGCUAAUCCACUAGUAAUCCGUAGUGACUCAGCUAUGUCGAGUACUACCAAACUCAACAUCCUAGUGGCAGACUUAGUUAGAGUAAUGAGGAAUGUAUCCCCACUAUGCCAACCACAAGAACGACAACAACACAUCCAGCACUACAUAUUCCGAAUGCAACGCUCCGGAUACACACAAGACGAUAGAGUCAGAGUGUACAAAAGAGCGAAAGCAAGAUUCGAACGCAUUCUAAGGGACGACGAAAACGGUAUAUGCCCCCUAUACCGCAACAAGUUUGGAAUAGGUUGGAGAGAGACACCAACAAAAGGAAGAGAAACGAUACUUGGUAUGAUAACAGGAAAUUUCACGGGGUAAUGUUCGUUGACGCCACACCUAAGAACGAGCUAAGUGAGGCAUUCAAGAAAAUCCUGCGCACUACUGGCCUUAAAAUCAAGGUUGUAGAAAAGACAGUUAGGACUAUCAAAUCUGCAUUAUGUAGAUCAUAUCCAUUUGAUAGAAUCACGUGUCAAAGUAAUUGUGCAGUAUGUUCGACAAACCCACAUGUGAACUGCAAAACCAAGGGCACGGUAUACCAAAUUGAGUGCCAAGAAGGAGGUUGCGCAACUAACCCAGAGUCAUACAUAGGUGAGACUUCUAGGAGUAUCAAUGAUAGGUUCAAAGAACACCUGGACAACUACAUUGAAAGGAAACCAAACUCCAUCUUCUAUCAGCAUGCUGUAGACUGCCACAAGGGAUCCUUAGGGAAACUUAAGUUAAACAUCCUAUCAACACAUCCCACCGAUGCAAUGUUGAGACAGGUCACAGAAGCUGUUUGUAUACAAGAAUACAAACCUACUCUCAACCGAAAAUCCGAAUGAAGUAACAUCCAGAUCCCAUUCAGGAGGACCAUUCUAUAACCACCCCUCUCUCUUGUUUACAUGUAACCCUUACAUACAUGUUGAAAUGCCUGGUGCUAAACCACAUAUGUGCAGUUAUAUAUAACCGUAUGAGCGUACGUUGUUUGAUACGUAUGUGCGUGUGUAGUGCUAUAAAAAAAAUGCAUAUGCAUGCACAUAUGAAUAUGUAUGGAUGUAUGUAUGUAUUGUAUAUGUAUGCGUUUAUGCAUAUAUAAAAUUUUAAAAAAUAAAGAGCAGAUAGGUUAAUAUAAUGCAUGUUCGAUUUUUAACCGUUGCCCUUGAAUACUGUGUCAUAUUUAUGUAUGUAUGUGUGUGUGCGUAUGUAUGUUUAUACAUA
rnacentral:lncRNA from 1 species